rnacentral:rRNA from 1 species
UACAGAGGUCCCAAGCGUUGUUCGGAUUCAUUGGCGUAAAGGGUGCGUAGGUGGCGCCGUAAGUCGGGUGUGAAAUUUCGGAGCUUAACUCCGAAACUGCAUUCGAUACUGCGGUGCUUGAGGACUGGAGAGGAGACUGGAAUUCAUGGUGUAGCAGUGAAAUGCGUAGAGAUCAUGAGGAAGACCAGUGGCGAAGGCGGGUCUCUGGACAGUUCCUGACACUGAGGCACGAAGGCCAGGGAGCAAACGGG